UACCCCCUUUUCACUUUGCCAACUGGACUUGUGUCUUUAAUUGGCCAUUCAAGUGGGGCAAAGGAACUGUCCUUUUAAAACUCAAGCAAACUGGGUGUUAGUCUUGUAUCCUGUCACAGGAAACAAGU